CCAACUCUACUAAAAAUAAAAAAAAUUAGCCAGUGUGGUGGCAUGUGCCUGUAGUCCCAGCUACUUGGGAGGCUGAGACAGGAGAAAAGCUUGAACCCAGGAGGUGGAGGUUGCGGUGAGCUGGGAUUGCGCCUUGCAUUCCAGCCUGGGCAACAAGAGGGAAACUCCAUCUCAAAAAAAAAAAACUAAACUAAACUAAAAAACUAAAAGAUACAGUAACUGAAAUGAAAAGCUCAGUGAAUGGGUUCAAGAGAAGAAUAAAAGGGUCCAAGGAAAGAAUUAGUGAACUGGAAGCUAGAACAAUAGAAAUUAUCCAAUGUAAACAGAUGUAUCCAUUUUUACAGAGAAAAAUGGAGGGGAAUGUGGAGGUGGGAGAGCCGAAGCGUAAGAAUUAUAACAAAAGAUCUAGUAUUUGUAUCAGUAGAGUCAUAGAAGUAGAGUUCGAAAGGAGAGGUGUGAAUGAAAAAGCUCUGGAAAUAAUGCCUGAAAACUCCCCAAAUCCCAAAUUUGGCCAUAAAAAUAAACCUACAGAUUCAAGAAGCUGAGUGAACCACAAACAGUAAAAACCCAAAUAAAUCUAAGCCAAGAAUCUCCUAAUUCAACUUCUGAAAAGUAUGCAAAGAGAAAAGCUUGAAAGCAGCCAGAGAAAACACCUUAUCUAUCCAUAGGGGAAAAUCAUUAGAAUGACUACAGAUUCUCUUGAGAAACCACGGAGAGCAGGAGGAAGUGGCACAGCAUUUUUCAAGUGCUGAAAGAAAACUAUCAAUCUAGAAUCCUGUAGCCAGUGGAAAUACCCUUCAGGAAGGGAGGGGACAUGAAGACAUUUUCAGGUGAAGGAAACCUAAGAGAAUGUCACCAAUAGACCUCCCUUAAAAGAACGGCUAAAGGAGGUUCUCUAAAAAGAAAGAAAAAGAUAAAAAGAAAAAGCCUUAGCACAUCAGGAAGAAAAGAAAGAACAUGGUAAGCAAAAAUAUCAGUUAAUAUGACAGACCUUCCUUCUCUUGAGUUUUCUUAAAUGUUUGAUAGUCAAAACAAAAAAAUUAUGUGUCUGAUGUGAACUGAAAAAGAACAACACUGAAAAAGAAAACCAUUCGAGUGGUUUUCACUCUGUGACAAUAGCCUCCAAUCAUUUUGUACCUUUUAAGCAUGACCAUUGGGUUUUCACACUCAUAUGGGAGGUGCCUCCCUCAAACUUUGUUACAUUGGCACAUGACUCAUCUGAUGUGAACUUAGGAAAAAACUCACAAUGACCCAUAUGCACUUCAUCCCAGUGUCCAAUAAGAUUUUUCUUUUCUAAGGUGAAUAAGCUCAUUUUGUCCAUUCAGUGUAGGCUUCUGCUGGAAAUGGAAAAUUCUCUUACAAAGGAAAAGCUUUUUUUACUGAUGGAAAAAGAUUUAACAGGAUUAAUAAUAUCAGCAUAAGGAUCACUUGAGCCCAGGAGUUCAAGACCAGCCUGGGCAACAUAGGGAGUCCCUGUAUCUACAAAAAAAA
rnacentral:lncRNA from 10 species